GACGAACGCUGGCGGCGUGCUUAACACAUGCAAGUCGAACGCUGAAGCACCAGCUUGCUGGUGUGGAUGAGUGGCGAACGGGUGAGUAAUACGUGAGUAACCUGCCCUUGACUCUGGGAUAAGCCCGGGAAACUGGGUCUAAUACUGGAUGCUACAUGUCACCGCAUGGUGGUGUGUGGAAAGGGUUUACUGGUCUUGGAUGGGCUCACGGCCUAUCAGCUUGUUGGUGAGGUAAUGGCUCACCAAGGCGACGACGCGUAGCCGGACUGAGAGGGUGACCGGGCACAGUGGGACUGGGACACGGCCCAGGCUCCUACGGGAGGGAGCAGUGGGGGAGAUUGCACAAUGGGCGAGAGCCUGAUGCAGCGACGCCGCGGGGGGGAGGACGGCCUUCGGGUUGUAAACCUCUUGCAGCAGGGAAGAAGCCGCAAGUGACAGUACCUGCAGAAGAAGCGCCGGCUAACUACGUG
rnacentral:rRNA from 1 species